CAAACUGCAUGGUACGGCAGUGUCCCGAGUGUUCCUCGUUUCGGAGAUUGAUGUUUUUGUUAGGGGUUUCUAUACUGGUUGUUCAAUUCGAGUUCAUAUGGUAUUAUUCAAUAAAGGUUCGAUUUUGUUCAGAUGGUGAAGUGGGUAGAUGGAUCUUCUGCAUCUUUUUCUCCUCUGUGGAGAAGAACAAAGUAAGGAACUGGAGGCCCACUCGCCAAUGGCUCAUUUUCAAAGCUUCAUCUUCGAUCUGAAAUACUGCGGCUGAGAACAUUUCGCCCAAGCGGCAACAAGAUGGUGAAGAUUCAGUCGCAUCCGACACAUCCAUGGCUCGUUGAUGCGGAUGCAUCGGACUUCAUCUCUGUUUGGAAUUGGGGGCAUCGUCAGAUAGCUCAUUGCGCAUUUUCGAGUUUUAUGAUGUGUGUUGUGUGUGCACUGGCUUUUUGGAGCGAUCUAGUCGAUAAUUUGGAUGUUUUUUGAUGGGAUGAUGAUCGUGGGCUGUUCUGGUUUUAGGCAAAAGCGAACGGUGUCAACGAGAGGCGUUUGGUUGAUGCUAAGUUGGAGAAGCUUGCUGAAGGAGAAUCAGGUGCUAAUUGUCCAUGAAAGCUCGUUUUAUUUGCAGCAGAUGGCAUUGGUUGCGUAGGCAUUUAUUUGUAUGCUACUGGGAAAAUCGCUGCAAGCAAGAACUUGACAACAGAUCACUACCCUGGCAAAGCUAUUUUUCUGGACUUGGCGACAAGGCAAGGCCGAGAUGUACCAAGCAAGAACUUGACAACAGUUACUAUUCUGGCAAGUCCUUACUCACGGAUAUAGUAAUUUCGAUUUAAUGACAGUUUUUUGUCUUCUGAUAUUUGAGAAAACUAAUCAUUUUCAGUUCCUUGAAUUUGACCAUUUAAAUGUACAGUGCUGGAUGCACCACUAUCUUUCUUUUCUGCAAGUUAUUUUUCUUUUCAGACAGAACUGGCAGAGUAUACUUUUAACCAUCUCUUAUACAGCUUUUCUUUCUUUUCUUACCAAUAGAUUGCCGUGUUGGCUGUUCUUCAUCUUUUUAAUGCUGAUAUCUGCUGUUAUCUCUGUUGCUUUUUAUCUUGACGCGGUAUGAAGUUCCUGGCUAGAUCUGGUGCUGGAGAUGGUCCACUUGUUGCUUUUGGUGGAUUGGAGGGUGUCGUCAUAAUACUUUCAAUGAUAACACUGCAGGUUCGGCCUUUGUCAAUUGUGUGGUCUGAAUGAUAAUGCUGAACAUGCAUUUUGUGGAUAGUAAAUUAUCUGCAACUUGUAAGGAGAUACACAGGCGGUCAUGAAGGAUCAGUUUCCUAUCUAAUGACCUUCAUGGCUUCUUCUGGUGAGGAGCAAAGUGAAUUGGCAAGUCUAAAUCUAGGUUGUGGCACAGUCCGUUUCGACCAUAAUGCAAGAAGAUGAUAAGACUCUGAAGAUGAAACUGAAAGUGGGACUUGCAGUGAAGAUGAAACUGAAAGUGGGACUUGCAGGGCAGAUUGUCACUGUGUGAACUUCUGUACAUUCAGUGAAGGUGGCAUGAGUUGUUAAGGCAGGCUGUUGAAGGAGAAAAGCGACAGCUUCUGGUGUGGUUGAUUCAUUGUUAGAUUUCAACUUAGGCAACUCCUUUGACACUGGCAGUGGUUGUUGAUUCUUUUACUGUAAGCGAUUAGCAAUGGCAACAAUGAUCCAAAUUCAAGUUUUUCUUUGUUACCAAUGUACAAGUUUUUUGGACAGGGUUCAGUGGCAAAAUCUACUUUUAUUGUUGUGGUAAAUACAUAUCCUUUUGUUAGACCAGUCA